AUGGCGUACUUCGGCCAUGGUGCUGAAAAAAAGGGACCGGCAAAUCCACCACCCAGCUGCAUCCCACCACAAAAUGACGAGACGGUGAAGCCCGCGUGCCACCGCCGUGGUGCUGCAUCCUCGAGGGGGCGACGCAGCGCGCGGGGGAGGCGUUCGCUCAUCGUUACCGCCGGCGAUGCGCCGCGAUGCUUGUCGACGACCGUCUAUGCUGCGACGCAGCAACGCGUCCAUGGCCAGAGUGUUGUGAUGCAACCUGCUGAUGCUGCAAGUCGCAGGCGGCGGAGUUGCAUUGGAGCGCCCUCCGGGUCAUUGGAGCUCAGCCGUGGCUGCAAUGAAGCGCCGCCGGAGCUGCAGUUAUGCUCGCCGGAGCUCCAGUGA
rnacentral:rRNA from 1 species